AUUAAUUCGAUGCAACGCGAAGAACCUUACCAAGGCUUGACAUACACCGGAAAAGUGCAGAGAUGUGCUCCCCGCAAGGUCGGUGUACAGGUGGUGCAUGGUUGUCGUCAGCUCGUGUCGUGAGAUGUUGGGUUAAGUCCCGCAACGAGCGCAACCCUCGUCCUAUGUUGCCAGCGGGUUAUGCCGGGGACUCAUAGGAGACUGCCGGGGUCAACUCGGAGGAAGGUGGGGAUGACGUCAAAUCAUCAUGCCCCUUAUGUCUUGGGCUUUACGCAUGCUACAAUGGCCGGUACAAAGGGCUGCGAUACCGCGAGGUGGAGCGAAUCCCAAAAAGCCGGUCUCAGUUCGGAUUGGGGUCUGCAACUCGACCCCAUGAAGUCGGAGUCGCUAGUAAUCGCAGAUCAGCAACGCUGCGGUGAAUACGUUCCCGGGCAAUCUC
rnacentral:rRNA from 1 species